rnacentral:rRNA from 1 species
AGGUGCUGCACGGCUGUCGUCAGCUCGUGUCGUGAGAUGUUGGGUUAAGUCCCGCAACGAGCGCAACCCUCGUCCUUAGUUGCCAGCAGGUUAAGCUGGGCACUUUAAGGAGACUGCCUUCGCAAGGAGGAGGAAGGUGAGGACGACGUCAAGUCAUCAUGGCCCUUAUGGCUAGGGCUACACACGUGCUACAAUGGGGCGUACAGAGAGUUGCGAUACCGCGAGGUGGAGCCAAUCUCAUAAAGCGUCUCUCAGUUCGGAUUGAAGUCUGCAACUCGACUUCAUGAAGCUGGAAUCACUAGUAAUCGUAGAUCAGCAAUUCUACGGUGAAUACGUUCCCGGGUCUUGUACUCACCGCCCGUCACACCAUGGGAGUUGAUUUCACCCGAAAUUGGGAAGCUAACCUUCGGGAGGCUACCACUUACGGUGGAAUUAGCGACUGGGGUGAAGUCGUAACAACGUA